rnacentral:rRNA from 1 species
UACGGGGGGAGCAAGCGUUGUUCGGAUUUACUGGGCGUAAAGGGCGCGUAGGCGGUCAGCACAAGUCAGUUGUGAAAUCUCCGGGCUUAACUCGGAAAGGUCAACUGAUACUGUGCGACUAGAGUGCGGAAGGGGCAACUGGAAUUCUCGGUGUAGCGGUGAAAUGCGCAGAUAUCGAGAGGAACACCUGCGGCGAAGGCGGGUUGCUGGGCCGACACUGACGCUGAUGCGCGAAAGCCAGGGGAGCGAACGGG